AUGAUUUCUCAUAGUGUAGAUUGUAGUGGUGAACACUUAGAGGUACCUAAAUGGGAGCUUGUUCUUCCUACCUCCUACAUGAUUUCCAUGAUACUUAGAGGUACCUAAAUGAAGAUCCUAAUCUUCUACCUCAUGCUUGAAAUAUUGGACUUAAUAAUAUGUAUAUAAUAUAUGUAAUAUAUAAACACAUAAUCCAAAUAAUCGAAUCUUAGAUGAUGAAUUAGUGUUCAUAUGUCCAAGUACUAGAUUAUAUCAUCCUACAGUAUGAUAACUUGUUACGAUUCUAAUGGAACCUUGUUCCAUGAAACCAUAUAAACUCCUUGGAGUACAUAGUGUCAAGAACAAGUAUCAUAUGUAUUAGAUGAUUAUUUUCACAUGUUAUUCUCAUAUGUUAUUUUCAUGUUGUUUUAUUCCGAAUCUCGACUCUAAACAUACUUGAACUUUAACCCUUAUACAUUCGGACUCUAAAUCUCUACUCGUCAACAAUUGGAUAAUCGGAAAGCAUAUGCAAACUUAGUUGAUGAUGAUGAUGAUGCUAUGAAAUGAAGUAGCAAUGAUGCCUAGAUACACAUAUAGACGUUUAGGUUUAAAUGUUGUAUCAAUUUUGAUUAUGAUGUUAUGUAUUUCUUUUGAACUUGUUGUUAUUUGAAUUUCCUUGUAUU
rnacentral:lncRNA from 1 species